rnacentral:rRNA from 1 species
AACUCUUGACAUCCAGAGAAUUCGCUAGAGAUAGCUUAGUGCCUUCGGGAACUCUGAGACAGGUGCUGCAUGGCUGUCGUCAGCUCGUGUUGUGAAAUGUUGGGUUAAGUCCCGUAACGAGCGCAACCCUUGUCCUUAUUUGCCAGCACGUAAUGGUGGGAACUCUAAGGAGACUGCCGGUGACAAACCGGAGGAAGGUGGGGACGACGUCAAGUCAUCAUGGCCCUUACGAGUUGGGCUACACACGUGCUACAAUGGCCGGUACAGAGGGCUGCAAACCUGCGAAGGUAAGCUAAUCUCACAAAACCGGUCGUAGUCCGGAUUGGAGUCUGCAACUCGACUUCCAUGAAGU